AGGAGCCGGAUGAUGGGAAACUAUCACGUCCGGUUCCGUGGGAGGGGUAGAGGUCAAUCCCAU
rnacentral:ncRNA from 1 species